GGAUUAACGCUGGCUGUGUGCCUAAUACAUGCAUGUCGAACGAGUAGCUUGCUACUAGUGGCGAAUGGGUGAGUAACACGUGCUUAAUCUACCUUUUAGAUUGGGAUAACAAACGGAAACGUUUGCUAAUACCGGAUAUGUAAUAAGAUCGCAUGAUUUUAUUAUGAAAGGAGCCUUAAAGCUUCACUAAGAGAUGAGGGCGCGGAACAUUAGUUAGUUGGUAGGGUAAUGGCCUACCAAGACUAUGAUGUUUAGCCGGGUUGAGAAACUGAACGGCCACACUGGGACUGAGAUACGGCCCAGACUCCUACGGGAGGCAGCAGUAGGGAAUAUUCCACAAUGGGCGAAAGCCUGAUGGAGCGACACAGCGUGCACGAUGAAGGCCUUCGGGUUGUAAAGUGCUGUUAUUGGGGAAGAACACUAAGAUGAGGAAAUGCUUCUUAGCUGACGGUACCCAAUCAGAAAGCGAUGGCUAACUAUGUGCCAGCAGCCGCGGUAAUACAUAGGUCGCAAGCGUUAUCCGGAAUUAUUGGGCGUAAAGCGUUCGUAGGUUGUUUGUUAAGUCUGGUGUCAAAGCCCGGGGCUCAACCCCGGUAUGCAUUAGAUACUGGCAAACUAGAAUUGGAUAGAGGUAAGCGGAAUUCCAUGUGAAGCGGUGAAAUGCGUAGAUAUAUGGAAGAACACCAAAGGCGAAGGCAGCUUACUGGGUCUAUAUUGACACUGAGGAACGAAAGCGUGGGGAGCAAACAGGAUUAGAUACCCUGGUAGUCCACGCCGUAAACGAUGAUCAUUAGUCGGUGGAGAAUUCACUGACGCAGCUAACGCAUUAAAUGAUCCGCCUGAGUAGUAUGCUCGCAAGAGUGAAACUUAAAGGAAUUGACGGGGACUCGCACAAGCGGUGGAGCAUGUGGUUUAAUUUGAAGAUACGCGGAGAACCUUACCCACUCUUGACAUCUUCCGCAAAGCUAUGGAGACAUAGUGGAGGUUAACGGAAUGACAGAUGGUGCAUGGUUGUCGUCAGCUCGUGUCGUGAGAUGUUAGGUUAAGUCCUAUAACGAGCGCAACCCCUAUUUUCAGUUACUAACAGUCAGAGCUGAGGACUCUGGAAAUACUGCCUGGGUAACCAGGAGGAAGGUGGGGAUGACGUCAAAUCAUCAUGCCUCUUACGAGUGGGGCGACACACGUGCUACAAUGGUCGGUACAAAGAGACGCAAUACGGUGACGUGGAGCAAAUCUCAAAAAGCCGAUCUCAGUUCGGAUUGAAGUCUGCAACUCGACUUCAUGAAGUYGGAAUCGCUAGUAAUCGCAGAUCAGCCAUGCUGCGGUGAAUACGUUCUCGAGUCUUGUACACACCGCCCGUCACACCAUGGGAGCUGGUAAUGCCCGAAGCCGGUUUGUUAACUUCGGAGACGACUGUCUAAGGUAGGACUGGUGACUGGGGUGAAGUCGUAACAAGGUAUCCCUACGAGAACGUGGGGAUGGAUCACCUCCUUUCU
rnacentral:rRNA from 1 species